GAGAGAGUUUAAUAUGUUGAAAAUAUUUCCAGACAGUUAGGUUAUAGAUCCUUAGACCGUCCCCAGCCCUUUGCUUCUUUUACUGUAUGUCUUCCAUUGCUUUCCUUUUUUUUUAUACUUUCUUUCUAAAAAUUCAUUUAGAGAGAGCAAACAGCAAAAAAAAUCCCUCAAAUACAAAGUUGUUGGCUGCAUGUCCACAGGCUAUGACUAUGUUGUGUCAGAGUUAAGCUACAGCUCUGCUGCAAUUGUAGGAAAUGUUUCCAAAGUGUACAUUUGUUUUGUAGUUUGGAAAUUUACAGCUCAUUUAGAUGAGUUAACGGUGGCUUUGUGGCUGUUAGUUACUCAGAAAGUCAAAAAGUCAAACACUCAUGCUGUGUGCAAGGAUAACAACGGAGUAAAAAGCUAUGUGUGAGAUGCUUCGGUCUCAGACACAGUGGUCAUUAUUGUGGUGGCUAAAAUGGCGGUAAAUCAGUAGAACCUAUGGACAGUGGCUGUUGGUAUGUCCAUAAAAUGAAGUUCAGUGUUACAGCUCUUUCUUUUAAUUGGAAGAAUUUACAGUAUAGACCAGUUUGGACCAAUUAGGGUGGGUUCGACUUUUUUAUCUUCGCAUUUUCCUUUAAAAAAAAAAAA